rnacentral:rRNA from 1 species
CACCGCGGUUAUACGAGAGGCCCGAGUNGAAGGAGAACGGCGUAAAGGGUGGUUAACGUUAAUACUAUCCAAAGUCAAACACCUUCCAAGCUGUUAUACGCAAUCGACGGCAGGAAGCCCACCCGCGAAAGUGACUUUGAACCACAUGACCCCACGAAAGCUAGGCCA